rnacentral:rRNA from 1 species
GACGAACGCUGGCGGCGUGCUUAACACAUGCAAGUCGAACGGAAAGGCCCCUUUGGGGGUACUCGAGUGGCGAACGGGUGAGUAACACGUGAGUAACCUGCCCUUGACUUCGGGAUAACUUCAGGAAACUGGGGCUAAUACCGGAUAGGAAUCCUUGCUGCAUGGUGGGGGUUGGAAAGCUUCGGCGGUUUUGGAUGGACUCGCGGCUUAUCAGCUUGUUGGUGGGGUAGUGGCUUACCAAGGCUUUGACGGGUAGCCGGCCUGAGAGGGCGACCGGCCACAUUGGGACUGAGAUACGGCCCAGACUCCUAUGGGAGGCAGCAGUGGGGAAUAUUGCACAAUGGGCGGAAGCCUGAUGCAGCAACGCCGCGUGCGGGAUGACGGCCUUCGGGUUGUAAACCGCUUUCAGCAGGGGCGAAGCUUGUGGUGACGGUACCUGCAGAAGAAGCACCGGCUAACUACGUG